CUUUGCCUGCUAUCUCUUACCCAUGUCUUUUGAGUACCUUCGUUUCCUCGGCGGGUCCGCCCGCCGAUUGGACAAUUUAAACCAUUUGCAGUUGCAAUCAGCGUCUGAAAAAACUUAAUAGUUACAACUUUCAACAACGGAUCUCUUGGUUCUGGCAUCGAUGAAGAACGCAGCGAAAUGCGAUAAGUAGUGUGAAUUGCAGAAUUCAGUGAAUCAUCGAAUCUUUGAACGCACAUUGCGCCCCUUGGUAUUCCAUGGGGCAUGCCUGUUCGAGCGUCAUUUGUACCUUCAAGCUCUGCUUGGUGUUGGGUGUUUGUCUCGCCUCUGCGUGUAGACUCGCCUCAAAACAAUUGGCAGCCGGCGUAUUGAUUUCGGAGCGCAGUACAUCUCGCGCUUUGCACUCAGAACGACGACGUCCAAAAGUACAUUUUUACACUCUUGACCUCGGAUCAGGUAGGGAUACCCGCUGAACUUAA
rnacentral:rRNA from 1 species